GGGAAUGUAGCUUAAUGGUAGAGUACUUGUCUAGCAUGUAUGAAUCCCUGGGUUCCAUCCCCAGCACUACAA
rnacentral:tRNA from 1 species